GUUGGGAAAUGAUGAGAAGUUACCUCUUGUCAAAGGCACAAACCAUGCUGAUUGUAUUAUUUUGCACGUCAGUCUGAUCCCAUU